GUCCACGCCGUAAACGAUGGGUGCUAGGUGUGGGGGGUGUCGACUCCCUCCGUGCCGAAGCUAACGCAUUAAGCACCCCGCCUGGGGGAGUACGGCCGCAAGGCUAAAAACUCAAAGGAAUUGACGGGGGCCCGCACAAGCAGCGGAGCAUGUGGUUUAAUUCGACGCGACGCGAAGAACCUUACCAAGGCUUGACAUGCACGGGAAUGUCGGAGAAAUUCGGCAGCCCUUCGGGGCUCGUGCACAGGUGGUGCAUGGCUGUCGU
rnacentral:rRNA from 1 species